rnacentral:rRNA from 1 species
AGGACGAACGCUGGCGGCGUGCCUAAUACAUGCAAGUCGAACGGUCUUUCUAUGGAAGCUUGCUUCCGCUGAGAAGAUAGUGGCGAACGGGUGAGUAACACGUGGGUAACCUGCCCAUAAGAGGGGGGAUAACAUCCGGAAACGGGUGCUAAUACCGCAUAGUUUUCUUGAUCGCAUGAUCGGGAAAGGAAAGACGGCCUUUGUGCUGUCGCUUAUGGAUGGACCCGCGGCGUAUUAGUUAGUUGGUGAGGUAACGGCUCACCAAGACGAUGAUACGUAGCCGACCUGAGAGGGUGAUCGGCCACAUUGGGACUGAGACACGGCCCAAACUCCUACGGGAGGCAGCAGUAGGGAAUCUUCCGCAAUGGACGAAAGUCUGACGGAGCAACGCCGCGUGAGUGAAGAAAGGUUUUCGGAUCGUAAAACUCUGUUGUCAGAGAAGAACAAGUUGGAGAGUAACUGCUCCAGCCUUGACGGUAUCUGACCAGAAAGCCACGGCUAACUACGUGCCAGCCGCUGC